GUGAAAAAAUGUUAUCUGUACGACAGCCAAUAAAAGGCCUGGUGGUGUCCAUGCUCUGGCUGAGAAUGGACCCAAACGGUGAGUACAAUUUCCAGAACCCUCUCUUGCAGUUUGUUUUAUUUUUAAAAAUUUUAUGGUUAAAACUUUAAAUAAUUCUUUAAAAAAGGAGAUUGGUGAAUUGCUUUGAAACUUGGCAUGCCUACAGUUGUAAAUGGGGUCUAAAACAGAGGUAGGUUUCAUGUAGAUAUGCCUUAAAAUGACUGAAGAUUGGGCUUUUAAAGUUUCCCAUUGUAGCCAAUGGGCUGAAUCUUUGCUGAAUGAAAAUGGCAACACCCCUCCCGAUUCAAGUAACUUCCCAAUAAACAGAAUGAGGGGUUAGCUGAUAAUUGACCUCAAAACAACAUGACUUUUUGCCAAAUUGCGCACCUCUAAUCUCCAGAGACUGGCAGAAUAUUAUUUGGGACUUCUUUACAGAUUACCAAGAAGGGAAGUAGAUGUUCUAAAAUAUAAGAUAUGUGACCAAAACUAACAGACUGGCAUCUCUUUUCCUCUUUCUUUGUAGUGACAGAUAAAACUGAACAUGAGGUUCUCUUUUGCUCUCUUGGUCUGUGACAACCAAUGAUGUGCAGCUUUGCUGGAAAAACCUGGUAGAUGUUGAGGUCCACUUGUACAGUUUUCUUUUACCAGAUGUUACUUCUCAAGAAGGGAAGUGGAAAUGUGGCCUGCUAUAUAUAAUAUCUACUUUUGUUCUAAAAUGCAUCAGAAAAUAUGUGCUGCAUAAUAUAUGUGGCAGUGAGUGAGUGCCUUUUUAUCCUGGAUAUGUGCAUUCAGAAGCCAUUAAUACACUGUAAAAUAAAUAUUUUCUGGACAUGAUAACAGAUUUUUUGACAAAUGUAUUUCUGCAUUACGAAAUAUACAUUGUGAAGCAGUCUUGAAAGGAUAUGUGGAUAAGAGCUGGAACCUUUACAUUGUCUGGAAAAUCCCCUCUAACAGGAGCCACAAGGACCAUAUGUAGGACCACAUGAAGAGAUGAGCUGUAAAUGGGAAUUGCAUAGCAGCAAUUGCAGCCAGAAUUGAGGGGCGGGGCAGGCAUA
rnacentral:lncRNA from 1 species